UGCUAAACAAAGGGUGGAUUACUCAUGCCU
rnacentral:piRNA from 1 species